CUUCCGGGUUUCGGCCGAGCGAGAGGAAGGGUUGGGAGGGCCGAGAGGAAACGCGCCCGGAGUCCCCAGCCAUGGCAGAAGAGCCUCGUCUCUUCAAGCUGGCCUGUCGGGGGCAGCUGGAGGAGCUGAAGGACGCUCUGCGGCGCGGGGACGCCGGCGGGCAGCGCUGCGGGCGCUCGGGGGACACGCUGCUGCACCUCGCCGCCCGGCACGGCCACCGCCGCCUCCUCGCCUGGCUGCUGGAGGAGCUGGCGCUGGACGUGGAGGUGGCCAACGGCGACUACAAGAGGCCCCUCCACGAAGCCGCCUCCAUGGGCCACGGGGAGUGCGUCUCCUACCUCCUGGCCAGGGGAGCCAGCGUGGAUCCCUUGAAAAGGGCGGACUGGACUCCCCUGAUGAUGGCUUGCACCAGGCAGAACCUGGAGGUGAUCAAAGACCUCGUGGAGCACGGAGCCAACCCGCUGCUGAAGAACAAGGACGGCUGGAAUUGCUUUCACCUCGCCAGCCGGGAGGGCCACGGGCAGGUCCUGCGGUACCUGCUGGCAGCGUCCCCGAGCAGCUGGGACACGGAGAGCACGACCAGGAGAACGCCUCUGCACACGGCGGCGAUGCACGGCCGCUGGGACGCGGUGGAGCUGCUCCUGGAGCGGUGCCAGUACAAACCGGACAGCAGGGACAACUGUGGAGUCACUCCCUUCAUGGACGCUCUCCAGAACGGGCACGUCGACAUUGCCCGGCUGCUCCUGGAAAAACACCGGGCUUGCCCCACAGCCGUGGAUGCGCUGGGCGCUCAGGCGCUGCACCGGGCGGCCGUCACGGCGCAGGACGGAGCCAUUCGGUUCCUGGUGGCCGAGCUGGGUGUCGGGGUCGACGAGAGAGCGACGGCCCUGCGGCUCACAGCGCUGCACUACGCAGCCAAGGAAGGACACACGCACACCAUCCAGACGCUGCUGUCCCUCGGUGCCGACAUCCACGCGAAGGACGGGAAAGGCCGCUCUGGCUCUCGUUCUGCUGGGCUUUCUGACGUCUUAACGGUGUGUUUGAGCCUGCGCUGGGGCCUUCCCCUUUGCGGGAAGAACCGACACGCUAAUCUGGGCUUCUCUCUACCCAGCUGCUCAUUUUGCAUGCAGCUUUGAGGCGCUCGGUAUCACUGAUGCCCCCGCCUCUCCAUCAAAUGUGGCCGAAACGAGGCAGUUCGGGACCGUCAGGGUGGGCAGACAGACAUCACCGCCCAAACUCCUAACCUUUAUCAAACUGCCUGGGAAUGGCUUAUGAGCAAACGGUAACGGAGAGCUCGAAGGUAAAUACAGUUGCUAUAGCGAUGCAGCGAGCUGGCACUCCCGUUGCGAGAGGUAUCUCUUGCAUCAGCAUCUGUCUCAAAAAAAAAAAAGAGUGUAUGUACGUGGUUUCGGCCAUUGCCACAACUGGCAACUUCCCCAGCCUUCGGGUUUGCUUAAUAACACGCUCCAGUGGUGAGCGGGAGCAGCCUCGCAUCCCUCCCUCCACCCCCUCAGAGUAAAUUCGAGCUCUGCUGGACUCCCCCCACCCCCUCGGCGUGUAAAUCGGGGCUUUGCAGCAGGACCCAACGACCCUCAGCAUCACGUCCUUGCCCCUGCGCAGGAUUAGGCCCGGAGAACGAGGCCGGAGCCGGGCCGGGUCAGCGUGCCGGCUGGCGGAGGGAUCUGAGCCGGGCUCUUUCAGCCUCCCCCUGUGGGGUGGACGCUCUUUGCUGCACGGAAACCUUUCAGCGUUACUGCCUGGCCCCGGACCAUAAAGGCCCCCGCUCACGCCCAGAGGCUUUUUCAAGCCGCUCUCUCGCACGUCGCUAUGAAAUCAGAGCACCCUGCACGCGGCGUGCGCUGGGCAGCACGCGGCUGCCGCCCGGAUCCUGCUCGGCGCCGGGCUGCGGGACGCCCCGGAUGGCGCAGGCACCCUGGCACGGCAGCUCGCGAGGAAGCCGGAGGUCGUCCGGGUUUUCCGAGAACGGGAUG